GCAGAGGACAGUGGCGGACGGGUGAGUAACGCGUGAGGAACCUGCCUUUCAGAGGGGGACAACAGUUGGAAACGACUGCUAAUACCGCAUGACACAUUGAAGUCGCAUGGCUUUGAUGUCAAAGAUUUAUCGCUGAAAGAUGGCCUCGCGUCUGAUUAGCUAGUUGGUGAGGUAACGGCCCACCAAGGCGACGAUCAGUAGCCGGACUGAGAGGUUGAACGGCCACAUUGGGACUGAGAUACGGCCCAGACUCCUACGGGAGGCAGCAGUGGGGAAUAUUGGGCAAUGGGCGCAAGCCUGACCCAGCAACGCCGCGUGAAGGAAGAAGGCUUUCGGG
rnacentral:rRNA from 1 species